UACGAGGGGGGCUAGCGUUGCUCGGAAUCACUGGGCGUAAAGGGUGCGUAGGCGGGUCUUUAAGUCAGGGGUGAAAUCCUGGAGCUCAACUCCAGAACUGCCUUUGAUACUGAAGAUCUUGAGUCCGGGAGAGGGUCGUGGAAUUCCCAGUGUAGAGGUGAAAUUCGUAGAUAUUGGAAGAACACGGUGGCGAAGGCGGCGACCUGGUCCGAUACUGACGCUGAGGCGCGAAAGCGUGGGGAGCGAACAGG
rnacentral:rRNA from 1 species